CCUACGGGGGGCAGCAGUGGGGAAUAUUGGACAAUGGGCGAAAGCCUGAUCCAGCCAUGCCGCGUGUGUGAAGAAGGCCUUCGGGUUGUAAAGCACUUUCAGUGGGGAAGAAAGCCUUGGGGCUAAUACCCUCGAGGAAGGACAUCACCCACAGAAGAAGCACCGGCUAACUCCGUGCCAGCAGCCGCGGUAAUACGGAGGGUGCGAGCGUUAAUCGGAAUUACUGGGCGUAAAGCGCGCGUAGGCGGUCUGAUAAGCCGGUUGUGAAAGCCCCGGGCUCAACCUGGGAACGGCAUCCGGAACUGUCAGGCUAGAGUGCGGGAGAGGAAGGUAGAAUUCCCGGUGUAGCGGUGAAAUGCGUAGAGAUCGGGAGGAAUACCAGUGGCGAAGGCGGCCUUCUGGACUGACACUGACGCUGAGGUGCGAAAGCGUGGGUAGCAAACAGGAUUAGAUACCCCUGUAGUC
rnacentral:rRNA from 1 species